UUCCUAAUCCAAGGCAAGCGAAGUAGAUCAAACGACAAUCAAGAGAAGAAGAGGUCUAGUCACGAGCCUGUAGAGGUAAGACCAAAAAGUUACAGCAAGAGUGAAGUCGCAGUACAUAACAAAAGGAACGAUUGUUGGGUCAUAAUCAAAGAUAGAGUCUAUGAUGUUACUUCUUAUGUUGAAGAACAUCCUGGUGGUGACGCCAUUCUAGAUCAUGCUGGUGAUGAUUCUACUGAUGGCUUCUUCGGACCACAACACGCCACUCGUGUAUUCGACAUGAUUGAGGAUUUCUACAUCGGAGAACUUCUUAAGUAAGCAAAAAAGUUGGCUUUUUUAUUCUCUUCUGAUUGAAGAUUUGAGAUUGUAGAACCUUUUGUCUUGCUAGUAUA
rnacentral:lncRNA from 1 species